rnacentral:misc_RNA from 1 species
GAUGAAGAACGUAGCGAAAUGCGAUAAGUAAUGUGAAUUGCAGAAUUCAGUGAAUCAUCGAAUCUUUGAACGCACAUUGCGCCCUCCGGCAUUCCGGGGGGCAUGCCUGUCCGAGCGUCACGAAAACCCCAUCACACUCGUUGUGGUCAUGGCUGCAGUGAGUCGUCUCCAGCGGAGAGGGUCACGCCGCUGAAAGGAAUGGUGCGGAUGAGUUCCGAUGGCCGAACGUAGUACUUGACAACCGUCGGCCGAUGGGACCCUCCAUCUCGCCCUGACGACGUACCCCCGUCGUACCCCCGAUCAGGUGGACCUCGGAUCAGGUAGGGAUACCCGCUGAACUUAGGCAUAUCAAUAAGCGGAGGA